AGACGAACAAAAUUUUUUGAUAUACAAUAUGAAUUUAUUCUUAUCAGAUAUUUAUUAAACAGAUAAAUGAUAAAAUGAUCAAGACUGGCAGAAUAUUGAAUGUUUUUAUACCUUAAGUAUUUUAUAUUAGCAAACAUCUUUCUUGAUUUUCAAACAGAUACAUUAAUGUAUGCUAUACCUUUAAAGUUUAUCCCUCAACCUAUACAAACUUCAUGAUAUUUUUGUGACAUUUCUAUGAUCUGGAUAGUUAAUGUGUUCUGUUGAAUAUUUGAUGAGGUUUGAGAGUGAAUAGUUUCUAGUGUAUCUGAAUUUAGAAAUUUAUAAACCAAGCCAACUCAUAUUUUCCCCCUCAAAAUGAUCUGGUCACAAGUUAUUCUAGAUCACCACCAACAUUAAGUUUGUCAGUAAAUAUUAUCACUGUGUAGUGUGUUCCACUGAUUUAGAUGAUACAAAUAUCAUUUCAGGGAUUCAUGUAGAGUUUAUGGAAGCUUUAAAAGUUUUAUCAUAAAAUAUUGAUUGGUGUGAUUUAAUACCAACUCAAGCAAUCCAUGAAAUUGAAACGUCCUGAAAUAUGAUAAAUAAUAAUUUUAAUAGGUUAGAGAUACAUAGUCAGAUGGCACAUCAAUGUCUUUUACACAAGUACUGCAGUAUUUAUUUGACAGCAUUGGAAUACCUCUAUUCUGACAAGGCAUUAAGGAUAAAGGGCUUUAUAACACUUCUUCGUUUUCUUGCUGGCCACAACUGUAAUGGAAGCAAGACAUGAUAUAAUGUUGCCAGCAACAAUUGUUAAAUUAUGUUAAUAUUUUGCACAGACAAGACAUAUUUCUGUGUUUUAAGCAAUUCACAUUAAUACCCAAUUUAACUUUGCCCAUCUGCCAAUAAUCUAUAUUGAUCAGAAAUAUCUAUGGUUGUGUUGUGUCAAAUUGUUUGUUUUCUAUAUAUGAUACAAAAUAAUGCUGAUUUUAAUUAUUAUGAAUCUACAAAUGUAUCCAAAGUUAUAUGAUACAAAUGUUUAAUGCCAAAUAU
rnacentral:lncRNA from 1 species